rnacentral:rRNA from 1 species
CUGCGCCACGAGUGGUGGUCGCGUUUAUUGGGCCUAAAGCGUCCGUAGCCGGAUUGAUAACUCUUUUGUGAAAUUGUCGAGCUUAACUUGACAACGUGCAGAGAACACUGUUGAACUUGGAACUGGGAGGAGCCAGGGGUAUUUUCGGGGGAGCGGUAAAAUGCUAUAAUCCCAAGAGGACUACCUGUGGCGAAGGCGUCUAGCUAGUACAGUUCUGACGGUCAGGGACGAAAGCUAGGGGAGCGAUCCGGAUUAGAGACCCGAGUAGUCC